rnacentral:rRNA from 1 species
CAAUAGCGUAUAUUAAAGUUGUUGCGGUAAAAAAGCUCGUAGUUGGAUUUCUACCGAAGAUAGCCGGUCGGGUCUUCGACCUUGUAUCUGGUUUUGUCUUUGGUAUCCUCAUAGGGAACGUUUCUGCGCUUUAUUGCGUGGUGCGGUAUCUAUGACUUUUACUUUGAGGAAAUUAGAGUGUUCACGGCAGGCAAACGCCUUGAAUAUAUUAGCAUGGAAUAAUAACAUAGGAUCUUCGUCCUAUCUUGUUGGUUUCUAGGGCUAAGAUAAUGAUUAAUAGGGAUAAUUGGGGGCAUCUGUAUCAACGCGUCAGAGGUGGAAUUCUUGGAUUGCGUUGCGACAAACUACUGCGAAAGCAUUUGCCAAGGAUGUUUUCAUUGA